GUACACACCGCCCGUCGCUGCCCGGGACUGAGCCAUUUCGAGAAAUUUGGGGACCGUUGAUUUAAUUUUUCUAAAUUACUUUGAUGGAAACCAAUUUAAUCGCAGUGGCUUGAACCGGGCAAAAGUCGUAACAAGGUAGCUGUAGGUGAACCUGCUGCUGGAUCAUUA
rnacentral:rRNA from 2 species